rnacentral:lncRNA from 1 species
UUGCAUGAGCCAACAAUGUAAACAGCAUGGUUGGAAGGAAUCUCGUGCUGCGCGAUUUUCUUGCAGGCUACGUCUUUGGUGAAAAGAGAGUCGAGAGGGUAAGACUUGAUAGUGUACUUUUGUGAGAGUGAGGAGUAGGUUAAGAUGUGGAUGAGGCAUGUGGUUGAGAAGCGAAAGUGCUUCUUGGCGAAUUUGGGAUCAGAAAUUAGAGAAUUCCACCACUUGCACACACAUCGAAAUUGCAUGAGGGGUUUCACAGGGAGCCUAUAGAGAAUUUCUGGAAUGAGAUCGAAAGGAAUAGUGGGAAGUGGCGAUGAGUGAAGUGACGAUGAAAUUAGGGUUCCUAUCAACUGCUGCGGCUUGGUGGUGAUUGUUUUCUCAGUCAGUAUUGGAGAAGAAACGGUAUCGUUUCUUUUGACUGCCUUUCUAGCCAUGUUAUCGUAUAGGGAACUAAGAGGCCGAUGUAUCCAGAUCUGUCAUCUAUAUAGACCCCGUUAGGAUAAACAACUUAUAUAGAUGUUUAUAGCAUUAGGACUUAUAACAUUAGAACUUACAUCAUAAGCUCUUAUAUUUGAUAAGCUAUUAAUGUUUGGAUAUGUACACUAAAAAGUAGGCUAAACUGCACUUUUCGCCCCCUAUGUUUCAAAAUGUUGCAAUUUUGGCCCCUUUAAAUCCAAAAAUUUCUGAGAAGACGCCACGUGUCCAAAAAAAGACCAUAAUCGCAACUUUUUGUAAAGAUAAAUGAUCAAAAAGCAUAUUUCCCUUAUGUUAGGAGGUCAAAAGAGCAUAUUUCCCUAAACAUAGGGGUCACUUUUAUCAUUUUUUUUAAUAGGGGGCCAAAAUUGCAACAUUUUAAAACUUAGAGGGCGAAAAGUGAAGUUUAGCCUAAAAAGUACUAACAUAAAUUGAAGUGUUUGGAUGUGACAUUUUUUUUUUUGAACAAGUUUGGAUGUGACAUUACAUAAGCUAUUAUCGAAAUUUUAAAUAUUUUUAAUUUAACAAGAGUCGAACCACAAUUAUCAAGAUUUUUUUUUUGAUAACAUUAAUCAAGAUGUAAAAAAAUAUUAUUAUAUAUUAAUUAUAAUUAUAUAGAUAUAUAUAGUAUAAUCAAUAUUCGUCCUUAAAAAAAAUAUCAAAGUUUAAUUUUAUUUUUUAUUUUUAGUUAAAAUUUCCAUCUUUUAUUCUUUUUUUAAAUCAUUUAAUUUUAAUUUUAUUAUGUUAAGUCUUUAUCUAUUUAUUUAAUUAUUUCAUUUUUUUUAGAUAAGUCCAAAAGGUCAAGUCUUUAUAAUCUUUUCUUUUAUUAAUGUAAAUAUAGGAUUAAUGUAAAUCAUGCAUAUUUAUUUUUCUUUGUCAUUAAUUUUCCGCAAACUUAGAAUGUAUGAUAGGUUUAAUGUAAUAGCAAGCAAGUUUGUAGCAUGAUAAAUAAAUAAAGACCUAGAGGUUUCCGUAGAGUACUACGGACAUAAAGGGUGUUAACACCUUCCCUUUAUGUAACUAACCUCCGAACCCUAAAUCUUUUCAAUAUGGGGUGAUUUGAACUUUUUUCCCUUUUUCUUAAAAAAUUUAAAUGUUCAGUCGUGAAAUAUUAGUGAGUCAAAUGCUAAUCGAAUAGUCUUCAUCUCCAAAAAAUAACGCGACAAUCAGAUAACAUAAACCUUUUUCAAACAAAUAGGUGAAAAUAACAACAAUUUCUUUAUCAAACUGUAGAUUAAGAUGACCUUUAAUUAAUAAUCAAUACAAGUAACUAAUAAUGAAAAAACAAGUACAAGAUACACCAUUGACACAAAUUUUAAGAUAUAGUUUCUAUGUUGAAUCUCAUGUUCAAAUGGCAUAUCAUCACAUUACAUUUUAACAUUAAGAACAAGGUGAUAUCAAGCUCUCAACGCAGACCUCUGAGGUGCUUUCAAACUGAAACCGAGGGAACUUUAAAGAACCAUCUAUAGAAUUGUAAAAAAACAUCUGGCUGGUUGAAUUAUGAAUAGACUUCAACACUUGGCCAUCCUCAAAAAUAUGUAUUACCAUGAUAAAUGAAUACGAUAUCAUAUAAAUAGUGAACAAUUUAGUCCAAGACUCUUUAUUUCCAUAUUCUUUCAUAAUCCAAACAUCAUUACCAGAAACGAGGCACAAACAAUUCCUGCAAAAACUCAAGUGCAAAGUAUGCGAAUCUACUGCAUCAUAUUCAGGCAACAAAACUUCUUUAAUCUUUUAUCUUAGAUUCAGUUGUUCUUAAAUAUUAUUCUUGUAGCUACAAUCGUGGAAGUUCCUAGUAUAAUAUCUAGAAAGGGUACAACAAAAUAGGGCUGCAUACAUUUGCAAAUAAAUCCCACUGUCCUAUAAGUAUUACAACUUAUUGAGAUAUAAAUCCAUUUAUGCUUACCGAAUUCUUUCAACCAUUUUAACAUGAAACUAUUCCCAUCAAGGACAGAAUCCUCAAAAGAAAACCUAUCAUUAAACAACGCAGCAGAAAUAAAAGCAGGGAAGGGAACCUGAUUGUAAUAACUAGAAUACAUCCACCAGUGUUGUCAAAUAUAGGACUUGGCGCCAUCAUGGCUUGUGGUGACGGAUAUUUUUACAACAAAGAUGGCCAAUAUAUGAAGGAUGAUGGUACCAUGGCGGAUUUUUGGAUUUCCUACGAGGUCCUACAUCGGUAACACUGACUGAGAAACAAAUAGAUGAAAUAUAACUGCCCUGAACAAAUUAUCAACUCCCAUGUUGAUGAAAAAUGGGGAGCCAACAAACAUUCAAUUCAAUAUCAUCUUGAUCAAUUUAGUAAUCUCAAAAUAACUAUUGGUUCCUAAAAUGAGUGCGAUACAAGUGUUUAUUCAUUUGAUGUUUUUCAAUUUUUUAAAACACGAGCAUUUGCACCCUUACUUGGUGGGUGUUAGUCAAUGCACUAUAAGUCCUUAUUUUGUAGCACAGCAUUAGCUAGUAACUACUACGGUUGAUAUUGCAACCACUGCAGGAAUUUGUUCAAGAGCAUUCAAGGCGGUAACCACAACCAUUUAGCUAAUACCGGUCAUUGAUUGAGAUCGAAUGAUUCAAAUUUAAAAUUUGAUUUUAAACAGUAAAAAGGAUCUCAUCCGCCGAUUGAAGAUCGGACAGUCUAGAUCUGUUAGAAUGUCCUGCUGUGACUGCACCAGAUCUAGUUCGCAUAUAUAACCUCUUAGUCACAUAACCGCAACAUCAACACUUAAUUAACCAGAUAGUAAUUCUUCUAAUAGUUUUCUUCUUCUUCUUUCGGAAGCCUAUCUAGGAAAGAUCCUAAAAUUGAACAGAAUUCUAACAGCUCGUUCUCGACUAUUCAUUCUUAUCAAAUGAAAUCAGUUUUGUUGAUAACAGAUAGGGGGAAAUAGCAGUUAGUUCAAAUUCUUCUACACUGAGUUGUUCAAAUUCUCAACCAUUUCAUCACCACGGAAGGCACCAUUUCAUCACGUAAUAAAUCAUAUUUCUAAGUUCUAACAAGUUGAAAUACCGCAAUGUAUUCUUAGUUAUUCCUAAAAUUUCUAAUUUCUUCAAAACUAAAAGCCACUCUUCUUGCAAGAAAUUUAACAAACAUCAGAUCCAUCUUAUAAACAUUAAUCAUUUAGUUUUUUUUUCAACAUCUUUUACACACAACCCUACUUUCGAUAGCACAUAGCUACCUUAAAACAAUGUACAUGGAAUUUUCCUAACAAUCAUUCAUAUCAAAAAACAAUAUCUCAAUCCAUCAUUUCCCUUCAUACAACUAUUUUCUACCACAAAUUGGUUAGAUUAGAGAGGGAAUAUUUGCUCAGCACCUUGACAGAAAAUGUAAGAUUGGACAGUGAUGCUUAAUAGAAUGGAUUUUUUGACCGGCACAAAUGAAACCAAAAACAGCAAACAAAAAUACACAACGCAAGAAACACUCGCAAAAAUAGAAAAAAUGCACAGUAAACCAGAAGAAUGCAGCAGAUCAGAAUCACAUAAAAACAUAAUGCACCCAGCAGCCGAACCGCUUUUAUACAGCAACGAAAACACCAGAAACAGAAUGAUGAAGAAUAUACUGCAGAACCGCAGAAUAACAGAACCAGUAAUCAACACCUUGAAAUAAACCGCUGCAGACUUGUUCAAACAAAACAGAAACACUAAAAAUUGCAGCAAAUUAAAGUGAUUAUGCAGAAAUUUAAACCAAGAACGCAACAGUUAAAAUAUCGAAGAAAUUAAAACCAAGAUUACGAGAGGAAAUGAACACGCUAAUAGAAUAAUUAAGAUAGCAUUAUUCAGACCAAAAUAAUUACCUUCAAAGGUUUAACCCCAAGUAUUUUGGACAACGUGUGAAAGAUUUGAGACAUUACGAAAUUUGUGCGGCUCAUAGCAGGCAUUUAACCAAACAUACUAAUGAUUUAGCAUACAACCUGAGUAUUAUUUCUGAUCAUAGAAAAUCUAACCUCAAACUCAAACCAUCAAAAGCAAUGCAUGACUGGGAAUUAACAAUCAAAUAAAUGAAAAUAACUACAAUUUCUCUAUCAAGCUACAGAUUAAGAUGACCAUUAAUUAAUAAUGAUCCAUGAAGUAGCUAAUAAUCAGAACGAGUGCGAGAUAAAUAUCAUAAACAUAAAUUAAAAUAUAGUUUUUAGUUGAAUAUAGCAUCACAACUACAUUCUAACAUUAAGAACAAGGUGAUAUCAAACUUUCAACGCAGAUUUCUAGGAUGUAUCUAAACUGAAAAUAAGAAAACUUUACAGAGCCAUUUAUAGAAUUGUAAAAAACCAAGUUCCGGGUCAAAUCCUGCGUAGACUUCCACGUCACUAGGCCAUCCUCAAAAAUAUGCAUUACAUUGGCAAAGAGAUGAUAAUAAGAUGGCAUGAAAGGUAUAGUGAACAAUUUAGUCCAAGACGCUUUAUUCCCAUAUUCCUUCAUAAUCCAAACAUCAUUACUACAAAUCCAGCACAAACAAUUCCCGAAAACACUCAAGUGCAAAGUACGUGAACCAAUUUCUCUAUAAUCAUAAUCCGGUAGCAAAACUUUUUUAUAAGACUCGUUUCCCAAAUCAAAAGAAGCAAUAAAACGUUGACCUUUACUAUAAUCUUUAGAAGCCAACCAAUUAAUCGUGCCAUUCACAUAUUUUCCCGAUUUCUGCUCCACAAUGAACCGAUCAUAUUGGAACGUCUCUUUAAUGUCUUUCCAGAAAUUGGUACCCACAUUAUGAACCACCUUUACAUCAGUUUUGUUAUUAUCCCGAAAAACAACCACCACCUUGUAAUUAUCAGAAAUAGGAUCAUGGCCGAAGCCGUGCAUCUGAAAAUUAUAACCAGCAUGUUGCAAUUCAAGUGGGGGCAAUUCCUUGAAUUUUCUAAUGGAAGGGUUCCACAAUCGAUAAAUAGCAAAGCGUUCAUAGAUAUGAUAUUCGGCAACACAGAUGAUGCCAUUGCAUGAGCCAACAUUGUAAACACAAUGGCUGGAAGCAAUCUCGUGCUGCGCGAUUUUGUUGUAGGCUACGUCUUUGGUGAAAAGAGAGUUGAGAGGGUAAGACUUGAUAAUGUACUUGUGUGAGAGUGAGGAGUAGGUUAAGAUGUGGAUGAGGCAUGUGGUUGAGAAGCGAAAGUGCUUCUUGGCGAACUUGGGAUCAGAAAUUAGAGAAUUCCACCACUUGCACACACAUCGAAAUUGCAUGAGAGGUUUCACGGGGAGCCUAUGGAGAAUUUCUGGAAUGAGAUCGAAAGGAAUAGUGGGAAGUGGCGAUGAGUGAAGUGACGAUGAAAUUAGGGUUCCUAUCAACUGCUGCGGCUUGGUGGUGAUUGUUUUCUCAGUCAGUAUUGG